UUAAUAAGAAACAUGAUUUCUUCAAGUUAUUAGGAGAAUAAAAAAGGAUAACUAUUCUAUCAUUUGUUCUUUUAUUCUAACGAUUUAUAUUUUUUCAUCUAAACUUGUGUUAAUGAAAUGACAUAUAUUGUUGCUUGUUCAUAAUUGCAAAAUCAUAGCAAAUUUUUUAGAGCUUUGAAGGGAGCACUUGACCAGGCAGCUAACAUGGCAGGAAUGAGCUUACUAAACUGUUUGAAGUCAGAGAAGAACUAGGGAAUGACUGAAUGAGUCUAAUUUGUUCAUUCAUGCACAAAUUCAAAGGUUGUUCUGCUCAAAACAAAACCCAAGUUUAAGAACUUUUGGUUUUUCCAUCGGUUGGUAAUUUGGCACUCUCUCUCUCUC